rnacentral:rRNA from 1 species
UGCGGAGGGAUCAUUACUGAGUUUACGCUCUACAACCCUUUGUGAACAUACCUAUAACUGUUGCUUCGGCGGGUAGGGUCUCCGCGACCCUCCCGGCCUCCCGCCUCCGGGCGGGUCGGCGCCCGCCGGAGGAUAACCAAACUCUGAUUUAACGACGUUUCUUCUGAGUGGUACAAGCAAAUAAUCAAAACUUUUAACAACGGAUCUCUUGGUUCUGGCAUCGAUGAAGAACGCAGCGAAAUGCGAUAAGUAAUGUGAAUUGCAGAAUUCAGUGAAUCAUCGAAUCUUUGAACGCACAUUGCGCCCGCCAGCAUUCUGGCGGGCAUGCCUGUUCGAGCGUCAUUUCAACCCUCAAGCUCUGCUUGGUGUUGGGGCCCUACAGCUGAUGUAGGCCCUCAAAGGUAGUGGCGGACCCUCUCGGAGCCUCCUUUGCGUAGUAACUUUACGUCUCGCACUGGGAUCCGGAGGGACUCUUGCCGUAAAACCCCCAAUUUUCCAAAGGUUGACCUCGGAUCAGGUAGGAAUACCCGCUGAACUUAAGCAUAUCAAUAAGCG